CACGCCGUAAACGAUGAGUGCUAAGUGUUAGAGGGGUUAACCCUUUAGUGCUGCAGCUAACGCGUUAAGCACUCCGCCUGGGGAGUACGGCCGCAAGGCUGAAACUCAAAGGAAUUGACGGGGGCCCGCACAAGCGGUGGAGCAUGUGGUUUAAUUCGAAGCAACGCGAAGAACCUUACCAGGUCUUGACAUCCUCUGCCAACCCUGGAGACAGGGCGUUCCCCUUCGGGGGACAGAGUGACAGGUGG
rnacentral:rRNA from 1 species